GACGAACGCUGGCGGCGUGCUUAACACAUGCAAGUCGAACGGAAAGGCCCUGCUUUUGUGGGGUGCUCGAGUGGCGAACGGGUGAGUAACACGUGAGUAACCUGCCCUUGACUUUGGGAUAACUUCAGGAAACUGGGGCUAAUACCGGAUAGGAGCUCCUGCUGCAUGGUGGGGGUUGGAAAGUUUCGGCGGUUGGGGAUGGACUCGCGGCUUAUCAGCUUGUUGGUGGGGUAGUGGCUUACCAAGGCUUUGACGGGUAGCCGGCCUGAGAGGGUGACCGGCCACAUUGGGACUGAGAUACGGCCCAGACUCCUACGGGAGGCAGCAGUGGGGAAUAUUGCACAAUGGGCGGAAGCCUGAUGCAGCAACGCCGCGUGCGGAAUGACGGCCUUCGGGUUGUAAACCGCUUUCGCCUGUGACGAAGCGUGAGUGACGGUAAUGGGUAAAGAAGCACCGGCUAACUACGU
rnacentral:rRNA from 1 species